AGUGAAAGGAACCGUAUGUUGUUUACUGUAUAUAUAUAUAUUUAUAGAAUUGAGCUCUUAUGCUUUUAAAAGUACCAAUAUAUAUAAAUUUUCAGCAUUUAAAUUAAGAAAUAUGUGGUUAGAAUGAUGUGGACCCCUUAGGGUUGAGUGGGUGGUUGGUUGAAUAGUAUAAUCUAACGAGUGUAAAUGGCCAACAGUGCAGAUCUAACGGAUAAAAACCUACAAGCACCAAAUGCUUGGUGCUUUUAAAAGCACCAUAGCCAGACUCUAUAUUUAUAUAUAUUUUUUAUA
rnacentral:lncRNA from 1 species